rnacentral:rRNA from 1 species
AUGGAAAACAAGGCCUCUCAGCCUACAGAAGAUGGACAAGAAUCAAACUCUCCGACCAAGGCUGUAGCUGAAGUGCUUGCUAACCACACUAAGAAGCCAAGGUUUCUUCAGCAUGUGGGGAUCCAGCAUGUCCAUGCGAGAUCUAGCGAUAGCAACUGUCAAGCAGAAUUGGCAAAGAGGGGCAAUGUCGAGCUUCGGGCUCUUGUUGACACCUUGACCAAGCAGUUGAAGGAGUCCAAAGAAGCAAGGAUCAGGCAAGACGAGGAGCACAGGAAGAGAGAUGAGAAGAAUAGGAAGAAGCAAGCUGAGAUGGAUGCAAAACUAGACUUUUUGCUAAGUCAGUUGCAAAUGUAA